GCCAUGCCGCGUGUCUGAAAAAGGCCUAUCGGGUUGUAAAGGACUCUUUGUCAGGGAGGAAAUACCCUAGCGCUAAUAUCGCUGGGGGAUGACAGUACCUGAAGAAUAAGCACCGGCUAACUACGUGCCAGCAGCCGCGGUAAUACGUAGGGUGCAAGCGUUAAUCGGAAUUACUGGGCGUAAAGCGUGCGCAGGCGGUUGUGUAAGUCUGAUGUGAAAGCCCCGGGCUCAACCUGGGAACUGCAUUGGAGACUGCAUGGCUAGAGUGCGUCAGAGGGGGGUAGAAUUCCGCGUGUAGCAGUGAAAUGCGUAGAGAUGCGGAGGAAUACCGAUGGCGAAGGCAGCCCCCUGGGAUGACACUGACGCUCAUGCACGAAAGCGUGGGGAGCAAACAGGAUUAGAUACCCUGGUAGUCCACGCCCUAAACGAUGUCAACUAGCUGUUGGGGGUUUGAAUCCUUGGUAGCGUAGCUAACGCGAGAAGUUGACCGCCUGGGGAGUACGGCCGCAAGGUUAAAACUCAAAGGAAUUGACGGGGACCCGCACAAGCGGUGGAUGAUGUGGAUUAAUUCGAUGCAACGCGAAAAACCUUACCUGGUCUUGACAUGUACGGAACUUGCCA
rnacentral:rRNA from 1 species